UACGGAGGGGGCAAGCGUUGUUCGGAAUUAUUGGGCGUAAAGAGCGCGCAGGUGGUUGAUUAAGUCUGAUGUGAAAGCCCACGGCUUAACCGUGGAGGGUCAUUGGAAACUGGUCGACUUGAGUGCAGAAGAGGGAAGUGGAAUUCCAUGUGUAGCGGUGAAAUGCGUAGAGAUAUGGGGGAACACCAGUGGCGAAGGCGGCUUCCUGGUCUGUAACUGACACUGAGGCGCGAAAGCGUGGGGAGCAAACAGG
rnacentral:rRNA from 1 species